UAAGAAUAAUGUAGAUAUAAAAUAAUUCUGACCUGCUAAAGUAGUAUAAACAAAGUAUAUAAUGUUAUGUAAUGCACAAUGAUGGCAUGAUGGUGAUGGAGGUGACAAGUAGAGUUAGAGAAGGCCUCUCAGGGGAAAGCACUUCAAGUAAGAUCAAAAUACUGGAAAUGAGGCAUCCAUGAGAGAAAGUAAGGACAGAAAAAAUGACAAUUUCAAAACCCAAGAGACAUAAUGGAGCUGGGUUUAUUUAAGGAACAGGGAUCAUUAUGCCUGGAGUAUUGGAAAUGCAGGAAAUAUGGAGGGAGAAGUUACAGAGGAAAGCAGGAACCCAAUCAUGUAUGGCCUCUGUAGCCUUUGGCAAGGAGUUUGAAUUUUAUCCUGAUUACAAUUGGAAGGCAGUAGAGGGAUGGAAAAAUAGAAAGAAGGAGCAAUAGAGCAAGAAAAGAGAAUGUAAGGGAGGGAAGGACUGGUUACCUUAACUCGGGCAUCACCAUAGACUGUUCCAGUUGCUAAGGUCAGAAUGAACAAGAGUUGUGAAACCAUGGAAACCUGGAACAGCAUGUGUUGUUUUCUAUUAAUAAAGUGAUUUUCCACAAUCACUCUUCAAGUGAAGGAAGAAUGGAGAAGAGGGCAUGUUAAAGGGCAGAUUUUUAAAGAGAACACACAGAGGGCUAUAAUUUUAGAACAGAGACUAAAAAUUAGAAUGAGACCUAGAGAUUUCUUUUAAGAAAAGAAAGAGAAAUAUGUUUGUAACAUAUAAAUCCUAAGAGAAAUGUAAGCUCAGAUAGGGCAAUACAUUCAGAACAGCUCUCAGAAGUUUGCACUUUUGGUUCUUCCAAAAACUGAAUCAUCAUAAACAUAGAAGUAACUGUUGCUAUGUCUCCUUGACAUUAGAUGUGGUCAUUUCCUGUCUGAGAUGAUUGCCAAGUAUGUACCCAGAAAUGCAAGUUGGUCUUCCAACGGGAUGAAAAGGUAAAAAUGGCACCCAGCCUUUUAGAUAGAAUGAAUUGUUACACAUGGAAAACUACUCCUGAAAGAAACAAAGAGGUGAAUAUUUCCAAGGGAAACCAUUAUCAAGGGGCAAGGGUGUUAAAGAAUAUACUGAGAAGAAACUGAGAAGGAAAGAUUUGCUCUUUUGGAACAUGAACAAUGAUAAUGCUCCAAGUGUCUCCUGGAAAGGGUUUGGCACACUUAGGAAAAUAAGGAAGAAUAAGAUUUGGUCUCUGCCAGAAAGUAUAUGUAAUCCAACUAAAGAGCUGUCAUGGAAACUACUAGCAUGAGUUGGAAACUACAAUUGAAAGAGUCCUGGAUAGUGUGUUCCUGUAAGAUCAACUUGCCUCUGGAGAGCAAUAAUAAAAGACUGCAGAUGCAGUUGUUCAGGAAAAGGAAGAGACACCAGGGAGGCACAUGCACAGAAGAAAGACCAUGUGAGGACACAGCAAGAAGGUGACAAUCUGCAAGCCAAGGAUAGGGGCCUCAGAAGAUCUUGGACUUGGAGCCGCCAGAACUGUGAGAAAAUAAAUUUCUGUUGCUUACCCUGCUCAGUAUGUAGCAUUUUGUUAUGGAAGUUCCAGCAAACUAAUACUGGUUUGAGUGCUAACAAUAUAGCAAUAGGAAAUUUUUAUGUGCUAUCUAGAUGCAUCUUUUAAAGUAUAAAUUUAAGCCUAUCGGGUUUUUUUAAUUAAGAACAGCUCAUAAAGAAGUAUCUAAUUUUAAGCCAGAAGAGGAAAAAAUCUAAC